rnacentral:pre_miRNA from 1 species
GUUGCCUGUGUGUGGAUGGUGUUCCGUCCCAAGAACAGGGCUUUUUGCCUGUGUGUGUGUGUGUGGAUGGUGUUCAGCACCAAGGACAGGUUUGUUUACCC